rnacentral:lncRNA from 1 species
GGAGCGUACCUCUAAGAGCAAUGUUAGAAAUAAGUUCUGUUUCUAGAAGGGGAAAGUCAUGGGUUCACCAAAGCUCCAAAGAGCUAAGAAGUGUAUUCUCACGUUGUAUCCAAAGUCUGGUGGGCCUGCUCAGGAGUACUGUCCCCCGUGAGCUGAGUGGCUGCAGUACUGUAUCUCAGACAGAGUAACUGGCAGGUGCCUUAGUUAAUUUUAAUCAGGGUCAGUGGAACAUGUAUGAUUUAUAUCAAAUUUUCAGCACAGUGAGUGGGGAACUUUGAGACUGCAUGGAGGUGAUAGAUGAGUUCAUUAGACUAAUGCUUCUGGCUACAUUCUGGCAAAAACAGUGUUCCUGUGCAGGGAUGUACCUGGCAGUUUGACAUUUAAGAACAUAUUGCCAGGAUUAACCCCAGUCCGCAAAGUAUAGAAAGGGGUGCAGUAAGUUUGAGGACAGUCUCUUCCUUUACAAUGAUGGUUGGAGAUCUGUGUCCCCUGUUAGUGUCCUCACUUCCAUGUUUUCUUGGAGGUGCUGACAGGGAUGAGCUGAAGGCUCUCUACACAGAAGUAAACACUUCUGCAUAGUCCCAAUGUCUGGGCGUCAGUGUUCCAGGGGGACUUAGAAGUGCUUCAUGGAGAGAGAUAACUUAGCUGGGGGCAGAUUGAGGUCUGAGCUGGAAGAGUGCCACUCAGGUAUAUCCAGGCAAGACUGGUUCCCCAGAAAAGUGGAAUUCUCCAGAUGAUUAGCUUUACAUUUGUGCCUAAUUUUUUGUUCCUUUGUAUUCUUCUCGGAAUCUUAAUUCUGGUGGUGUUUUAAUUUAAAUUUGGGCUUUAAAUUAAGUUGCAGAAAGGAUGGGUUGCUAAUUAGACUCAGUAGACACAGUGGCCUGUGAGGCACUUCAAGGCUGGGGCAGGAGGAUUGGCCAGCCUGAGAUAGUUGGUGAGACUUUGCCAGAAGAAGAGAAAAGAAAACUAGCUAGCUGUUGGGACCCAUUCGUCAUCCAACUCCUUUUUUUAUAUAUUAAGAUUUUAGUAAAUCAUGGAUCAUAGUACAUUUGGGUGCUAAGUUUAAGCAUGAAAACUAUACUAUCACAGGACAAAACAGUGCACCAGCUGGCUUGGUAUAGGCUAUUUCAUAAAGUAUAACUGAAUUACUUUGUGUUAAAAGUAAAUUUUUUAAAGGUUUUUUUUUUAAAUAGUAACUUGGAAAUGGAGGGUUUAGAUGUAGAAGGGGGCAUUUUUAAUAAGGUAAUUUUUAUCAUGAACUAUUUUUUUUUUUACCAAAAGUAUUUUGUAACUGAAAUUUUAAAGUAAAUCUGCUAAGUAUAAUUAGAAACUCAAAUAAAUGUUAUGCUAGUAUAUUUUUGAGUAUGUAUUUUGUACCCUAUGACUUAGUUUAAAAUAAGAGCAUGUUGAAGUGUCAGACUAGGUAGUGAGAGUAACAGAUGCCUUUUGGAGACACUGUAUUCUAGUCUGUCAUAGCUGCUAGGUCACAAAGGGUUUCAAUGUGCAACCUUAACAGACUUAUUCUGGGGAUAAUCCCACACUCUGCAUUGUAUCCCUAGCAAGAAAUAUAGAACCAAAUAGCUCCUUCCUCCUCUUGAAGGCAAAUCAUUUGGGAAAUUGGGAUCUCAGUCCUGAUGCUGCCAUGGCUUCUGUGUCUUAGCAGUAAGUGUAAAAAUACCUACCUAGCCUGGCUUUCCCACUUCAUAGCAUUGUGUACAAAUGCAGACAACAUGACAAAGGGUUUAGCCGUCACCACCCUUCUUGGCCAGGCCUGAUUACUACUGAAGUGCCUCAGUGUUGCCCCCAUAGAUGAGUGCCCACCUGUCCUUCAGACCAGGGUGUGGUGCUUCCCAUUGAGGGGAGGGAGCUGUCAAUCAUUUAUUUCCAUCUGGAAGAAUAUGUUUGUAUUGCUUAUUUUAUAAGGUCUUCUAUGUAUUUGAGAUUUAAGGGUGCCAUUUCUUUGUUAAUAAAUUGUUAUAAUAAAAUGAUACUGUGUAAAUUA